CCUACGGGAGGCAGCAGUGGGGAAUUUUGGACAAUGGGCGCAAGCCUGAUCCAGCAAUGCCGCGUGAGUGAAGAAGGCCUUCGGGUUGUAAAGCUCUUUUGUCAGGGAAGAAACGGUGGGAGCUAAUAUCUCCCGCUAAUGACGGUACCUGAAGAAUAAGCACCGGCUAACUACGUGCCAGCAGCCGCGGUAAUACGUAGGGUGCAAGCGUUAAUCGGAAUUACUGGGCGUAAAGCGUGCGCAGGCGGUUUUGUAAGUCUGUCGUGAAAGCCCCGGGCUCAACCUGGGAAUUGCGAUGGAGACUGCAAGGCUUGAAUCUGGCAGAGGGGGGUAGAAUUCCACGUGUAGCAGUGAAAUGCGUAGAGAUGUGGAGGAACACCGAUGGCGAAGGCAGCCCCCUGGGUCAAGAUUGACGCUCAUGCACGAAGACGGUGGGGAGGACGAAACGAAGGAGUUAGUAUACCCGUACGGUAGUCCGACCGACCCGUAAACCGACUGUCUACUAGUUGUUCGGGUUUUAAGUUUAACUUAGGUUACGUACAGCUACGUCGUGAGUAGACCGCCGUGGGAGGUACGGUCGUCGAGUAAGUUAAACGUUACGUAAAGUUAAGUUAGUACGGCGUUGAGACGNGCCGAGGACGACGACGAGGGAGGAGG
rnacentral:rRNA from 1 species